UACCUAGCGGCGGACGGGUGAGUAAUGCUUAGGAAUCUGCCUAUUAGUGGGGGACAACAUUCCGAAAGGAAUGCUAAUACCGCAUACGUCCUACGGGAGAAAGCAGGGGACCUUCGGGCCUUGCGCUAAUAGAUGAGCCUAAGUCGGAUUAGCUAGUUGGUGGGGUAAAGGCCUACCAAGGCGACGAUCUGUAGCGGGUCUGAGAGGAUGAUCCGCCACACUGGGACUGAGACACGGCCCAGACUCCUACGGGAGGCAGCAGUGGGGAAUAUUGGACAAUGGGGGGAACCCUGAUCCAGCCAUGCCGCGUGUGUGAAGAAGGCCUUUUGGUUGUAAAGCACUUUAAGCGAGGAGGAGGCUACUAGUAUUAAUACUACUGGAUAGUGGACGUUACUCGCAGAAUAAGCACCGGCUAACUCUGUGCCAGCAGCCGCGGUAAUACAGAGGGUGCGAGCGUUAAUCGGAUUUACUGGGCGUAAAGCGUGCGUAGGCGGCUGAUUAAGUCGGAUGUGAAAUCCCUGAGCUUAACUUAGGAAUUGCAUUCGAUACUGGUCAGCUAGAGUAUGGGAGAGGAUGGUAGAAUUCCAGGUGUAGCGGUGAAAUGCGUAGAGAUCUGGAGGAAUACCGAUGGCGAAGGCAGCCAUCUGGCCUAAUACUGACGCUGAGGUACGAAAGCAUGGGGAGCAAACAGGAUUAGAUACCCUGGUAGUCCAUGCCGUAAACGAUGUCUACUAGCCGUUGGGGCCUUUGAGGCUUUAGUGGCGCAGCUAACGCGAUAAGUAGACCGCCUGGGGAGUACGGUCGCAAGACUAAAACUCAAAUGAAUUGACGGGGGCCC
rnacentral:rRNA from 1 species